rnacentral:lncRNA from 1 species
UUUCAUAAUAUGAUUUUAACACCGCAAUUGAAGAAAUUUACUAUGACAUUAUGAAAAUUGUAUUAGGAAGGAUUAAUUAAUUUGUGUAUUAAUAAGGAGUAAAAGAAGUACUCAAAUCCUUACAAUACAACAAAAUCUCUUAAAUACUAAGCAAACAUUUUAAGGGAUUGACACACUAAUCGGAAUACAAAUAGGGACAAUGUCUACCCGAACGGCCAAUAAACCAAAACCAAGAAAUUAGCUUAAUUUGAUCCACCAACUGACCAUAAUCGGCUAUAGCACCCCUAAAGACAAUGUUAAUACGCAACCUUCAAGCACACCAAGUUGUUGCAAACCAAAUCAAACUUAGGACCUACUUGUUUUCUUCAGCAGAAACGGUAAUUUUUACUGCUCUAAGUUUAGCCUUAAAUUUCAGACGGUACUGGCACAAGGUCAUUUUUUAAUUUACAGAACUUAGAUCAAAUAAGUACUUUAAAAGAACUAAAAAGAGAUAAAGAAGAAUUAGUACGCUCAAGGAUAAACUUGUACAUGUGAAUAUGUGAUUAACUCAAAGAUUAA